rnacentral:lncRNA from 1 species
AGCACCUCCAAGUUCACCCCUGUAGGAGUCUCUGGUUCUUGUGAAGAUGUUCUGCACCAUUUUGUAAACACCACUCUGGCCUUCUUUCAAGAAAGUCCCCAAAUUCCAGAGGCACCUGCGCACACAUUACAUUUCCUACAGCUCAUAGGAAAUCUUUGAUCUCAGGCUACUCUUAUUUAUAUUACUGUGGCUAAAACAAAGCAAAAACAAAACAACAACUCUGUAUUGAAGCUAUAGAAUAAACCCAAAUUGUUCUCUUUAAAGCCUUGAUUAAUCAGGCUGUUUAUGAAAACACGGCUUUGAUGAUGCCACGCAUUUAAGGCAGGCAUGCAGUUAUUUGGAAGGAGAAUUUUCCAGCAUUGAGUGGUUUCUUCAGCAGGCAAAAUAAAAAUCCUGGGAAAGAAAAGUCAAGUCUCUGUGAAAAAGGGCGAUGAAAUCUAAGUUGCAGAGGCACAAACUACAAGAGUCUAGAGCCUGACGUACCUGCAGAGCGUCACUCUGUUUCAGACUUAUUGUGAAAGCGCUCCAUCAUGUACCCUGUGAAGAAAAGUUUAUUAUGGGCUGAAAAUGCCUGGCCUUUCUAAAUUCCCAGCCUAAUAUAAAACCUCUAUAGGGGACUUUUCCAACACUGGAUAAUAGCCUAGCCCAACACCUUUAAUAAAAUCAAGGUGACAGACCAUGAAAACAUUUGCUUCAGCACUAUAAGCAAAUCUGAUACUGUUGCUGAAAGAUGCCUCAAGGCAUCUGUACAAGUCUUCAAGAGAAGUGACGGUGGUGCUAGUAUGUGGGGGGGCUUCAGAUCAGCAAACCCAGAGCUCCUUUUGGACAAUGGCUGAACUUUGAUAUUUUAAACUGCCUAGAAACACAAAGAGCCGAGCCCAAACCUCAUGCGAAGAUUAUGGGGCAGAAACUGUCAUUUAAAGAGAAAAAAUAUUUUCCCAUUAAAAUUUGAGUGUUUUUUAACACUCCAUCACGUGAGAGAUGUGGUUUCAUAAAUUAACACUGGUAGAACAUGAAGGAAUCCAAGAAACAAGCAUGAAAUUAUUUUGCACAGCAGUUCAUGGCUCACACUUCAUCAAACCUGGCACCGAAAGGCUGCCCGUGGUUUUUAACAAGUGACAAGCUCAGUGCUGGGAACAGCUGAAAAGUCUGGAGACAUACAUGCCUCGGUGUAGUCCCUGGUGCUACGCAUUGCAACAGCUCCUUGAACGUCAGGUCAGAGCUGGCUUUUAAAGCUCCCUCAUACGUAUUUAUACAUACGACGUCCUGUUAAAAUGCAGAAUGAGAUUUCACAGUCUAUGGGAAAAAUAUGUGUUGGGAAUCCUACUGAAAUGACUGCUUAUAGGUACAGGCACAUGAGCUAGAGAGGCAGUUUAUAAAAAUCUACAUCACUUUCCGUAGUAACUUUAUUUUGCAAUGUGCUUGAGGAAAGAAAAGGAAUAAAAGAGAGCGGAAAUAGCCUUUCCA